AAUAGUGUAUAUCAAUAAUCUGUUGGAAGAAAUAUCCUUCUGGGUUCAGUUCCAGGUAGGGAAGAAAGACACCGGAAACAUGGUGACUUCUUGGGAAAAUGGUUUAAUAGUGGACAGGACCACCUGGCUUGGAGCUCCAAAGUGAAAAUGACAACCACAUGC